ACAAAUACGAUGAUCUGAGGAGUGCCCCGCUGGAAAGGGGAAGAGGGACAGCGAGGGGUGCUGCCACCUUUGAACAGAAAGAGAACAAAGAGGAAUUGACCCUUGCAAAUAUCUGAGGGAGGAGAAUACCUGGCGGCCAGAACUGCAUGUGCAAAGGCCCUGAGGUGGCAUUGCACCUGCAAUAUUCAGGGAGCAGUAAGGCAGCCAGAGCAUCGUGGGAGCAGGGAGAGUGGACAGGCCAGAUCUUCUAGGGCCCAGUGGACCAUGGAGGGAGUCUGUGAUGCCUGGUUCCUUUGGGGCUGAACGGGGCGGGACUUCUCAUCUUUCUAGAUCUAGGGUCUCUGUCCACAGAUGGGUCCGGUCGUUGUGCCUGCGCAGCAUUCUCGGGGCCUCCAGGAUGGAAGUAUUCAUGCUGCCGACUUCCCCAUCUGCCUCCUACCCGCCUCUCCUCCCUGAUGGAGCCGCCAAGCGCAGGAAGGAGCCACAGCAAACACGAGAUGGCCGGAGCCUGAUGGGCAAAUUCAGUGCCCUGUUCGUUCAUUCCUCAAGAAAGCUGUUCCCUGGCCCCUCUCUGGUUGGAGCACGGGCUGGUACAGGGACUCCAGCACCGCCUUGGAAUUUUUUAUGUGUGUUUAUUUAUUUGCGGGGGAGGGGCAGAGCCCGACGUGGGGCUUGAUCUCGAGGACCGUGAGAUCAUGACCUGAGCGGAUAGCAGGAGUCGGAGGCUUAACCCGCCGAGCCCCCCAGGCGCCCCUGGAUUUUUAACACCAUGCUAAGGGCUUCCAUCGGUAGGGGCCUUCUAAGUAUUCACUAAAUGAGUGAAUGAACAAACGAAUGAACAAAUGAAAGAGAGAAAAUUAAAGUUUACAUUUCCUGAAUGCA